rnacentral:misc_RNA from 1 species
GAUGAAGAACGUAGUGAAAUGCGAUAAGUAAUGCGAAUUGCAGAAUUCCAGUGAGUCAUCGAAUCUUUGAACGCACAUUGCGCCCUUUGGCAUUCCGAAGGGCAUGCCUGUUCGAGCGUCAUUAUCACCCCUCAAGCCCCCCUGGCUUGGUGUUGGACGGUUUUGGUGGGACGUGCAGCCUCUCACCCCUCCUAAAGACAAUGACGGCGGCGUCGUUGGAACCCCCGGUACACUGAGCUUCUUAACUGAGCACGUACUGGAUGCGGGUACGCGAUGCACGGUCUGCCUCCCCUUUAGGGAGAACUUUUUCUUAAGGUUGACCUCGGAUCAGGUAGGAAUACCCGCUGAACUUAAGCAUAUCAAUAAGCGGAGGA